rnacentral:misc_RNA from 1 species
AAAAAAAGCAAGAUACAAAAUGUGAAAUUAUUCCAAAAAGUGUCGACAUAAUCGCGCUCAUUCUCUUACAAAAAGCGCCUACUGUACCCACCACUUCUCCGUAUUUGCCCUUGCCUUCUCUAAACUAUGUCGACACUCUCUCCUAAUGCCGAUAAAAUUCUCUUCUCUCUUCCUUUCUCUUUGAUUCCAUCUCUGUAUCCAAACUCAGCUACUGUGGGAUGUGUCCAGUGCGCACCAGACGAUCAUCCUCGGACGACCUUCGCUUCUUCGUUACUAUCACGUCUUAACUUUUUUUUGUGUGUAUCAUUGGGAUUUCUCUUGUUUGUAUAAAACCCGUAUUAUUUGUAUCCAUUAAGCCCACCCUCUCCCAGUUCGAUAUCCAUGUUAUUCUUUGAGGUUAGUUCUUCGAGUUCUCAGAUUUUCGCUCAAAAAGUUGAUAGAUGAUACCUAUUGACUCCGUGAUGAUGUGCCCAUUAAUGGGUUUUUAUAUUUGAUAGGAUCUGUGGGAGUUGAUUGGCCUCAAUCAUUUCACAUUAAAGACUCGAGCUUUAUCAGGUAACGUUUGUAAUUUGCUUAUGUUGAAACUUACCAGGAAAUUUGAGAUUAUGGGUCUUCUGUAUUUAUGUCAUGUGAUGUUGAGAUUAUGGGUCUUCUGUAUUUAUGUCAUGUGAUGUGUCAUUGUGUUACUGGCGCAAUUGAGUUCAAUUUUGUAUGUUCUCUUUGCAAUUCAAGCAAGCUGAUACUUUUUAUUCUGUUUUUGUUCCAAAAUAAGAAGAAUCUUUAUUUCCGGGGAUUUCUGAAUCCAUGUCUAACACGAGUUGCCAAUCAGCCGAAGUCAAUGCUUGCCGAGACGACUCAGCUGCACUAGCCCUCAAGCUCAUAGCCAUAGCGUCUAUUCUCCUCGCUGGAGUAGUUGGCAUCGCUAUCCCUCUCAUCGGAAAGCAACGCCGUUUCCUCCGCACAGACGGCAGCCUCUUUGUCGCCGCAAAGGCGUUCGCGGCUGGCGUAAUUCUCGCCACCGGUUUUGUUCACAUGCUCUCGGGUGGGUCAAAUGCCCUCAGGAAUCCUUGCCUUCCCGAAUACCCAUGGUCCAAGUUCCCAUUUCCAGGUUUUAUUGCUAUGAUGGCGUCGUUAUUGACUCUGCUUGUGGAUUUUGUGGGCACUCAGUAUUAUGAGAGAAAGCAGGGCCUGAACAGGGCAAGUGAGGAGCAAGCAAGGGUUGGAUCGGUCGAUGUAGGUCCUGAUUCGGAUAUUGUCCCUUUCGCGGGUGAAAAAGAGCCCAAUGGAAAGGUGUUUGGGGAAGAGGAGGGCGGUGGGAUGCACAUUGUGGGGAUGCACGCGCAUGCAGCACACCAUAGGGACAGCCACCCUCACGGCCAGGACGCAUGUGAUGGGCAUGUGAAGGAUCAUGGGCACGGGCACAAUCACCGGUUCAGUGAGGGUGACGAGGAGAGUGGAGCACGACAUGUCGCCGUUUCGCAGAUACUGGAACUUGGGGUUGUAUCCCAUUCGGUUAUUAUUGGAUUAUCACUGGGAGUUUCACAGAGCCCAUGUACCAUAAGACCCUUGAUAGCAGCGUUAUCAUUUCAUCAAUUCUUUGAAGGGUUUGCGCUUGGAGGGUGCAUCUCACAGGCACAGUUCAAGACCCUAUCAGCUACAAUAAUGGCGUGCUUUUUCGCCAUAACAACUCCUGCUGGAAUUGGGAUUGGGACAGGCAUCUCUUCGUUUUACAACCCACACAGCUCCGCAGCACUAAUUGCAGAAGGCAUUUUAGAUUCAUCGUCUGCUGGAAUUCUUGUGUACAUGGCUUUGGUGGACCUGAUAGCUGCUGAUUUUCUAAGUAAAAGUAUGAGCUGCAAUUUUAGGCUUCAAUUGGUGUCUUAUUUCAUGCUCUUUCUUGGAGCUGGAAUGAUGGCUGCACUUGCAAUCUGGGUUUAGAUUAUUAUUAUUUUUUUAUUGUAUUCAGGAGAAUAGUGCUACUUUCUCACAAAAGUGUGGGCUAUUCUUGUAAUACAAAGAAAAGUGUUGUAAUACAAAGAAUAUGCCCCGCUGAUAAAAGAUGGUGCAUGCCCUGAUCUCUGAGUGAGAAUAGAAGGCAUUAAGCGAAUGUUGUUGUAGUCUUUUAAUUUGUCGUUUUUUUUAUAAGAAAAGGAAGAAUGAAAGUCGUUAAAAUUGAUGGUUGGAUUAUAUAUAGUGGAGGCAAUCUAUAUAAAUAAA